AACGAACGCUGGCGGCAUGCCUAACACAUGCAAGUCGAACGAGACCUUCGGGUCUAGUGGCGCACGGGUGCGUAACGCGUGGGAACCUGCCCUUAGGUUCGGAAUAACUCCCCGAAAGGGGUGCUAAUACCGGAUAAUGUCUUCGGACCAAAGAUUUAUCGCCUUUGGAUGGGCCCGCGUUGGAUUAGCUAGUUGGUAGGGUAAAAGCCUACCAAGGCGACGAUCCAUAGCUGGUCUGAGAGGAUGAUCAGCCACACUGGGACUGAGACACGGCCCAGACUCCUACGGGAGGCAGCAGUGGGGAAUAUUGGUCAAUGGGCGAAAGCCUGAUCCAGCAAGGCCGCGUGAGUGAUGAAGGCCUUAGGGUUGUAAAGCUCUUUUACCCGGGAUGAUAAUGACAGUACCGGGAGAAUAAGCUCCGGCUAACUCCGU
rnacentral:rRNA from 1 species